AGUGAACGCUGGCGGUAGGCCUAACACAUGCAAGUCGAACGGCAGCACAGUAAGAGCUUGCUCUUACGGGUGGCGAGUGGCGGACGGGAGAGGAAUACAUCGGACUCUACUUUUUCGUGGGGGAUAACGUAGGGAAACUUACGCUAAUACAGCAUACGACCUACGGGUGAAAGCAGGGGAUCUUCGGACCUUGCGGGAUUGAAUGAGCCGAUGUUGGGGUAGCUAGUUGGCGGGGUAAAGGCCCACCAGGGGGGCGAUCCGUAGCCGGUCGGAGUGGAGGGUCGGCCACAUUGGAGCUGAGACACGGUCCAGAGUCCUGCGGGAGGCCGCAGUGGGGAAUAUUGGGCAGCGGGGGCAAGUCUUACCCAGCGAUACCGCGUGGGUGAAGAAAGCGUUCCGGUUGUAAUGCCCGUUUGUUGGUAAAGAAAAGCAGCAGGCUAAUACCCCGCUGUUGUGACGGUACCCAAAGAAGAAGCACCGGCUAACUUCGUG
rnacentral:rRNA from 1 species